AGCCAGACUCCUACGGGAGGCAGCAGUGGGGAAUAUUGCACAAUGGGGGAAACCCUGAUGCAGCGACGCCGCGUGAGCGAAGAAGUAUUUCGGUAUGUAAAGCUCUAUCAGCAGGGAAGAAAAAAUGACGGUACCUGACUAAGAAGCACCGGCUAAAUACGUGCCAGCAGCCGCGGUAAUACGUAUGGUGCAAGCGUUAUCCGGAUUUACUGGGUGUAAAGGGAGCGUAGACGGCAUGGCAAGUCAGAUGUGAAAGCCCGGGGCUCAACCCCGGGACUGCAUUUGAAACUGUCAGGCUGGAGUGCAGGAGAGGUAAGUGGAAUUCCUAGUGUAGCGGUGAAAUGCGUAGAUAUUAGGAGGAACACCAGUGGCGAAGGCGGCUUACUGGACUGUAACUGACGUUGAGGCUCGAAAGCGUGGGGAGCAAACAGGAUUAGAUACCCCCGUAA
rnacentral:rRNA from 1 species